GCCAGAUCCCCAGGACAGGGUUGAGGAAGAGCGCGGUGUCCGCGCAGGGUGGAGUUUCGCCCGGGGACCGCAGACAAACCAGGAGCUCUGGAGGCCAAGCACUCCCGUGACAGACAAUGGACUCCUACCUGAAUCCUCCUAUCUGAGGGGCCUGCACCAGAAAACGGAUGGACUUCUUCCCUGCUCUGCUCAUACACGGUGCUCAGAGAAAACCUGCAACGCGUCUGUGAGACUUAGGGAUGCACAUGAAAGGGGGCACAGCGUAAGGAGCCCACCCUAAGUAUGGAGGUUGUGCUUUUCAUUUUGCUGGAAUUUGCUGUUUCAUCUAGAGAAGCACUGGUAGAUGUGGCAUGAAUGAAAUUGUGCUGCUGCAAAACAAAGCUGAACAAACGGGAGGAGAAUUAUUUGAACUGUUUCUAAAAUGUUGUCAUGUUUGUUAACAGCUGCUUAACUCUAGUGUCUAACAAGCUCUUGGAAAAUAAGUUUAUUAAUAAAAAAAAGAAAAGGCAA